AAAAGUUCAGUUUAGCGUUUAAAACCCUAAUGCUGACUAAAGGAAGAAGUUCAGUUUAGGGUUUAAAACCCUAACGCUGAUUGCAUGGAAAAGCUCAGUUUGGGGUUUAAAACCCUAAUGCUGGCUAAAUGGAAAAAAGUUCAGUUUAGGGUUUAAAACCCUAAUGUUGAUUAAAGGAAAAAGUUCAGUUUAGGUUUUAAAACCCUAAUGCUGACUGAAUGGAAAAAAGUUCAGUUUAGGGUUUAAAACCCUAAUGCUGACUAUAGGAAAAAUUCAGUUUAGGGUUUAAAACCCUAAUGAUGAUGGCAUGGAAAAGCUUAGUUUAGGGUUUAAAACCCUAAUGCUGGCUGAAUGGAAAAAAGUUCAGUUCAGGGUAUAAAACCUUAAUGCUGAUUGCAUGGAAAAAUUCAGUUUAGGGUUUAAAACCCUAAUGCUGACUAAAUGGAAAAAAGUUCAGUUUAGGGUUUAAAACACUAAUGCUGACUAAAGGAAGAAGUUCAGUUUAGGGUUUAAAACCCUAACGCUGAUUGCAUGAAAAAGCUCAGUUUAGGGUUUAAAACCCUAAUGAUGGCUAAAUGGAAAAAAGUUCAGUUUAGGGUUUAAAACCAUAAUGCUGACUAAAGGAAGAAUUUCAGUUUAGGGUUUAAAACACUAACGCUGAUUGCAUGGAAAAGCUCAGUUUAGGGUUUAAAACCCUAAUGCUGGCUGAAUGGAAAAAAGUUCAGUUAGGGUUUAUAACCCUAAUGAUGAUUAAAGGAAAAAGUUCAGUUUAGGGUUUAAAACCCUAAUGUUGACUAAAGGAAAAGUUCAGCUUAGGGUUUAAAACCCUAAUGCUGACUGAAAGGAAAGAGUUCAGUUUAGGGUUUAAAACCCUAAUGCUGAUUGCAUGGAAAAGCUCAGUUUAGGGUUUAAAACCCUAAUGCUGGCUGAAUGGAAAAAAGUUCAGUUUAGGGUUUAAAACCCUAAUGCUGAUUGCAGGAAAAAGUUCAGUUUAGGGUUUAAAACCCUAAUGCUGACUAAAGGAAAAGUUCAGUUUAGGGUUUAAAACCCUAAUGCUAACUGAAAGGAAAGAGUUCAGUUUAGGGUUUAAAACCCUAAUGCUGAUUGCAUGGAAAAGCUCAGUUUAGGGUUUAAAACCCUAAUGCUGGCUGAAUGGAAAAAAGUUCAGUUUAGGGUUUAAAACCCUAAUGCUGAUUGCAUGGAAAAGCUCAGUUUAGGGUUUAAAACCCUAAUGAUGAUUGCAUGGAAAAGCUCAGUUUAGGGUUUAAAACCCUAAUGCUGGCUGAAUGGAAAAAAGUUCAGUUUAGGGUUUAAAACCCUAAUGCUGACUGAAUGGAAAAAAGUUCAGUUUAGGGUUUAAAACCCUAAUGCUGACUGAAUGGAAAAGCUCAGUUUAGGGUUUAAAACCCUAAUGCUGACUGAAUGGAAAAAAGUUCAGUUUAGGGUUUAAAACCCUAAUGCUGAUUGAAUGGAAAAAGUUCAGUUUAGGGUUUAAAACCCUAAUGCUGAUUGAAUGGAAAAAAGUUCAGUUUAGGGUUUAAAACCCUAAUGCUGACUAAAGGAAAAAUUCAGUUUAGGGUUUAAAACCCUAAUGAUGAUUGCAUGGAAAAGCUCAGUUUAGGGUUUAAAACCCUAAUGCUGGCUGAAUGGAAAAAAGUUCAGUUUAGGGUUUAAAACCCUAAUGCUGAUUGCAUGGAAAAAGUUCAGUUUAGGGUUUAAAACCCUAAUGCUGACUAAAGGAGAAGUUCAGUUUAGGGUUUAAAACCCUAAUGCUGACUGAAUGGAAAAAAGUUCAGUUUAGGGUUUUAAAACCCUAAUGCUGACUAAAGGAAAAGUUCAGUUUAGGGUUUAAAACCCUAAUGCUGACUGAAUGGAAAAAAGUUCAGUUUAGGGUUUAAAACCCUAAUGCUGAUUGCAUGGAAAAGCUCAGUUUAGGGUUUAAAACCCUAAUGCUGAUUGCAUGGAAAAGCUCAGUUUAGGGUUUAAAACCCUAAUGCUGAUUGCAUGGAAAAGCUCAGUUUAGGGUUUAAAACCAUAAUGUUGGCUGAAUGGAAAAAAGUUCAGAUUAGGGUUUAAAACCCUAAUGCUAAUUGCAUGGAAAAGCUCAGUUGACGGGUUUAAAACCCUAAUGCUGGCUGAAUGGAAAAAAGUUCAGUUUAGGGUGUAAAACCCUAAUGCUGAUUGCAUGGAAAAGCUCAGAUUAGGAUUUAAAACCCUAAUGCUGGCUGAAUGGAAAAAGGUUCAGUUUAGGGUUUAAAACCCUAAUGCUGAUUGCAUGGAAAAGCAAAGUUUAGGGUUUAAAACCCUAAUGCUGGCUGAAUGGAAAAAGUUCAGUUUAGGGUUUAAAACCCUAAUGCUGAUUGCAUGGAAAAGCUCAGUUUAGGGUUUAAAACCCUAAUGCUGGCUGAAUGGAAAAAAGUUCAGUUUAGGGUUUAAAACCCUAAUGCUGACUAAAGGAAGAAGUUCAGUUUAGGGUUUAAAACCCUAAUGCUGGCUGAAUGGAAAAUGUUCAGUUUAGGGUUUAAAACCCUAAUGCUGGCUGAAUGGAAAAUGUUCAGUUUAGGGUUUAAAACCCUAAUGCUGACUAAAGGAAGAAGUUCAGUUUAGGGUUUAAAACCCUAACGCUGAUUGCAUGGAAAAGCUCAGUUUAGGGUUU
rnacentral:lncRNA from 1 species